CGUUCCUUCAGACCACCACAUGGUAGGUAGAACGGUGAAUAGCAUUCCGUAAUGUCUUCUUGCUCUCAUCCCGACAAGAAACCUAGGUCCUCGUGCAAACUGAUCACAUCUGCCACCCUAUGAGAAGUACCUGAAUAAUCAGCAAGACUUCACUCCCAGAUUAUGUUUGUCAUGCAGGAUGUUUAUGGCAUGCAUGUCUGACUGUAAUGCUAAUGGACUGAUUCUUGAUAAAGGUGCUUUUAGGCAAGCUUUUAAAGAAUUUCCAAAUAGAAGCUUGUAACAGCUGGAGAGAAUGGACCCACAGGAAAUCUACUGACAUUUGGCCAGGGCUGGUUGGAUUCUGUGCCAUGAAAAGACGGCCCCCCACUGGCGGAAUGCUGGCAUCAGAACUGAUGCGUAUUGCCCUGCGACUGGGAACCAAAACCCGAGCGAUUGGGAAAAUGUUGUUGUGCCCUAGGUUGAUUGCACUGUCUGUUCCAGAAUGGGCGGCUGGAGUGGGCGUCCUUUGCUCGUCCGGAUGUCCUGGAACCACGGAAGGACUGAGACGACAGUUGCUGCCAGAAGAUCGGCUAAAGCCGCAGACAAAAACCCAACUAAUAUAGCACAGAGAAACUAGUAGAACACUGCUGAGAGAAGGAAACAAAAUGAUUUUAUGGAAGUACAUAGCAGCAGUUAUCUUUUAAAUGUCUCCCAAUGAUAUUUGUUUCUUAAAAAGCCAGAAAGAAGCAUGCGGUAUUGAUUAAAUUCCCAAAUGAAGUUUUGACUUGAAGGAGGAGGGUCAGCAUUCAAAACAGGCAUGCAAUCCACAGAAAAGAAAAUUCUGUAAUUAACGUGAUGAGAAAAAAAAUGUAAUUAGUGGGUGUGGCUCUACUGAAGAGGAGUUCCAGCAUGUCUGAAGCUAAGCGCCCUUCAUUUCACCAAAAUGAAGACUCACUCAUUUCUGUAUGCCUUGGAGCAUGUUGCACAACUCUUGAGUCGGGGCAUGUUGUAUAUACUGGGCUGCAUAUUCAGAUAAACAUUCAAAAGAAACCUCAUUUUAGCUUAUUACUGUUAAAAAUAAGAAGUCACUUGCAUGUGCAAACCUGAUUCAUUUAGCUAGGUGCUUGCAUAGUCCAAUUUUACAAUACUGAAGAGAUGACAGUGCAUUUGUAUCACAAGAAAUCCUACUGUGUCUGCAAAUCCAGUGCAGAAAAAACAAUGUCAUGCAUAAUUGCCGC